UAUAGACCCGAAACCCGGUGAUCUAGCCAUGGGCAGGUUGAAGGUUGGGUAACACUAACUGGAGGACCGAACCGACUAAUGUUGAAAAAUUAGCGGAUGACCUGUGGCUGGGGGUGAAAGGCCAAUCAAACCGGGAGAUAGCUGGUUCUCCCCGAAAGCUAUUUAGGUAGCGCCUCGUGAAUUCAUCUCCGGGGGUAGAGCACUGUUUCGGCUAGGGGGCCAUCCCGGCUUACCAACCCGAUGCAAACUGCGAAUACCGGAGAAUGUUAUCACGGGAGACACACGGCGGGUGCUAACGUCCGUCGUGAAGAGGGAAACAACCCAGACCGCCAGCUAAGGUCCCAAAGUCAUGGUUAAGUGGGAAACGAUGUGGGAAGGCCCAGACAGCCAGGAUGUUGGCUUAGAAGCAGCCAUCAUUUAAAGAAAGCGUAAUAGCUCACUGGUCGAGUCGGCCUGCGCGGAAGAUGUAACGGGGCUAAACCAUGCACCGAAGCUGCGGCAGCGAACGUAUCACC
rnacentral:rRNA from 1 species